UGAGACAUCCAAAAGUAUUAUUUAGUCACAGUUGUCAUUCAUAACACCUGCCAGGUGGUUCCGACAUAAAGUAAGAAAGGCUUUCACAAACGAAACAACCGAGAGCAUCGACCAAAACCGACUAAUCAAAGAAAUUCAAAAUACUAGAUUCUUAUACGCACAUACCGUAAUUACCUACAAAUACGGUACGGCUAGUCCAUGACGCCGCGGCCACCUCACACGGCCGCAGCCUUAACGAGAUGCUUCUCGCGGGCCCCGAUCUGCUGCAGUCGCUGCCCGGCGUCAUCAUGCGUUUCCGUCAACACGGCGUGGCAGUAUCGGCAGAUGUAAAGGAAAUGUUCAUGCAGAUAAAGAUAAGAGACUAACUUUCGCAUUUCACACAGGUGCAGGCGCUAAUUAAUCACUGUUUGUUUGCAGGGUCAAUACUGAGGCGUGGAAUGAGGAAGAAUCGCAGUAACUCAAGCUGAGCGGUCGCUAGGGUCGCUAGGCGCAGGCGCUAAACCGAGCUGAGUACGACGCGUGGGUGGCGCCUACCGGCUGCAACUCAACUAAACAGAACCCGUCGCAUGGGUCAAUACUGAGGCGUGGAAUGAGGAAGAAUCGCAGUAACUCAAGCUGAGCGGUCGCUAGGGUCGCUAGGGUCAAUACUAAGGCGUGGAAUGAGGAAGAAUCGCAGUAACUCAAGCUGAGCGGUCGCUAGGGUCGCUAGGCGCAGGCGCUAAACCGAGCUGAGUACGACGCGUGGGUGGCGCCUACCGGCUGCAACUCAACUAAACAGAACCCGUCGCAUGGGUCAAUACUGAGGCGUGGAAUGAGGAAGAAUCGCAGUAACUCAAGCUGAGCGGUCGCUAGGCGCAGGCGCUAAACCGAGCUGAGUACGACGCGUGGGUGGCGCCUACCGGCUGCAACUCAACUAAACAGAACCCGUCGCAUGGGUCAAUACUGAGGCGUGGAAUGAGGAAGAAUCGCAGUAACUCAGCCGAGCGGUCGCUAGGGUCGCUAGAUGCAGUAGAACGAAGAAGAAGCUGGCAACUUGAAUGCAAGUGUGCAUUAGAUGGCGCCACCAUAGCUUUGCCCGGACAAGAGUUUUGCUCUAUGAGAUUUGACUUCUAAUAUUAAAAUACUUGGACCGAUUCAGGGAGAAGAACGCGCUUUAUCAGCACACUCACGCUCCUUUGAAAGCAAAAGCAUAAUAUUAUUGUUAAUGUAUUUUUUUCUAGUAUGUAACUUGUAACGUAAUGUAACGUGUGUUGUCAUGUAACUACUGAAUUUUUGAUUGACAAAUAAGUUAUCAGUUAGUUAGUUGUAUUAGGUAAUUAAUUUAAUUGAAAUUGUGCACACAUGCUCCCGCAAUUUGGCAAUAUCAACAACGUUUAUUAAAGUUUUUCGAAUGCAUAUCGCAAAUGUCAGAAUAUUCUGUUCAUAAAAGUUAUGGAUUGUCAUGCCUUUUUCCAAUGACCCUUAUUUAGGGUAAAGUAACACCAAACAAAGUAUUUGUGAGACAGUUUAACCUUUUGGCCGCCAGAGACUUAAACGGAAAAUCGUGACCACGACGCCACUUUUAUGUUAGCAUAAUUUCUUUACCCAUCCUUAAUUUACCCCCGUGGCGUCAGUGGCACGGUUUUCCGUUGACGUCAUUUGCUGUAUUUGGCGUUCAAAAGGUUAAAAACAUAAAAUUUACCAUAAAUUAAGACCCAUAAAAUUGUAAACAUCUGCGGCGAUUUAUGAUGAUUGUGUUAACUAAACGUAACAUAAGCAUUUGUAAAUGUAAUCAAUUUUAGCAUAUUACUUACCAAAACUCACCUGUGCUAUUCCAUUUCCCUGUUAUCCCCAAUCGUGCUGGUAGCAGCGAAGUGCAAUGCUUUCUACCUUUCCCCAAAAUCUCAGUCCUGCGAGUGCGAGGUGCAAAAUGUAAGUAUUUAUCAAAAAGGGACGGCUGUUUCGCAGGCUAGAUAAUGUUUCCUCCUCUCUUGUACUAGGCCGACUAGUACUCCGAUGCGCCUAUCUCCUCCUUCCUUAUAUCCGUAGCUAGUUAUCAGAAAAAUAAAAAAUAAAUCAUCCGUUUGUUUUUCUUAUGCAACAGGCGUUUAAAGGAGGUCAAAAAAGACAAGUGGCGUGGGUAACAAUUUGAGGCGAAGUAUUUUUUGACUCAGUUAAACACC